UACGUAGGGGGCAAGCGUUGUCCGGAUUUAUUGGGCGUAAAGAGCGUGUAGGCGGCUUUACAGGUCCGUUGUGAAAACUCGAGGCUCAACCUCGAGACGCCGGUGGAAACCGUAAAGCUAGAGUCCGGAAGAGGAGAGCGGAAUUCCUGGUGUAGCGGUGAAAUGCGUAGAUAUCAGGAGGAACACCUGUGGUGUAGACAGCUUACUGGACCAUCACUGACGCUGAGACACGAAAGCGUGGGUAGCAAACAGG
rnacentral:rRNA from 1 species